rnacentral:rRNA from 1 species
GAUGAACGCUGGCGGCGUGCCUAAUACAUGCAAGUCGAGCGAACAGACGAGAAGCUUGCUCCUCUGACGUUAGCGGCGGACGGGUGAGUAACACGUGGAUAACCUACCUCUAAUACUGGUAUAACUUCGAGAAACCGGAGCUAAUACCAGAUAAUAUAGUUAACCACAUGGUUCAGUAAUGAAAGACGGUUUUGCUGUCACUUAUAGAUGGAUCCGCGCCGCAGUAGCUAGUUGGUAAGGUAACGGCUUACCAAGGCAACGAUGCGUAGCCGACGCGGGAGGGUGAUCGGCCACACUGGAACUGAAACACGGUCCAGACUCCUACGGGAGGCCGCAGUAGGGAAUCUUCGGCAAUGGGCGAAAGCCUGACGGAGCAACGCCGCGUGAGUGAUGAAGGUCUUCGGAUCGUAAAACUCUGUUAUUAGGGAAGACCAAAUGUGUAAGUAACUAUGCACGUCUUGACGGUACCUAAUCAGAAAGCCACGGCUAACUACGUG